ACUUAGAACCGGUUAGUAUCUGGUGUGACCACCAUUUGCCUCAUGCAGUGCAACACAUCUUCUUCGCAUAGAGUUUAUCAGAUUGUCAAUUGUGGCCUGUGGAAUGUUGGUCCACUCUUCUUCAAUGGCUGUACCAAGUUGUUGGAUAUUAGUGGGAACUGGUACACGCUGUCGUAUACGCCAGUCAAGCACAUCCCAAACAUGCUCAAUGGGUGACAUGUCCACUGAGUAUGCUGGCCAUGCAAGAACUGGGACAUUUUCAGCUUCCAAGAAUUGUGUACAGAUCCUUGCAACAUGGGGCCGUGCAUUGUCUUGCUGAAACAUGAGGUGAUGUUCAUGGAUGUACGGCACAACAAUGGGCCUCAGGAUCUCAUCACGGUAUCUCUGUGCAUUCAAAAUGCCAUCAAUAAAAUGCACCUGUGUUCUUCGUCCAUAACAGAUGCCUGCCCAUACCAUAACCCCACCACCACCAUGGGACACUCGAUCCACAACAUUGACAUCAGCAAAGCGCUCACCCACACAAUGCCACACACGCUGUCUGCCAUCUGCCCUGAACAAUGUAAACCAAGAUUCAUCCGUGAAGAGAACACCUGUCCAACAUGCCAGACACCAUCGAAUGUGGGCAUUUGCCUACUCAAGUCUAUUACGGCGACGAGCUGGAGUCAGGUCAAGACCCUGAUGAGGACGACGAGCAUGCAGUUGAGCUUCCCUGAGACUGUUUCUGAGUGUGUGUGCAGAAAUUGUUUGGUUAUGCAAACCAAUUGUUUCAGCAGCUGUCUAAGUGGCUGGUCUCAGACAAUCUUGGAGGUGAACCUGCUGGAUGUGGAGGUCCUGGGCUGGUGUGGUUACACGUCGUCUGCGGUUGUGAGGCCGGUUGGAUGUACUGCCAUAUUCUCUGAAACGCCUUUGGAGAUGGCUUAUGGUGGAGAAAUGAACAUUCAAUGCACGAGCAACAGAUCUGGUUGACAUACCUGCUGUCAGUAUGCCAACUGCACGCCCCCUCAAUGCUUGUGGCAUCUGUGGCAUUUUGCUGUGAGACAAAACUGCACAUUCCAGGGUGGCCUUUUAUUGUGGGCAGUAUUAGGUACACCUGUGCACUACUCAUGAUGUCGGAUCAGCAUCUUGAUGUGGCACACCUGUGAGGUGGGAUGGAUUAUCACAGCAAAGCAGAAGUGCUCACUAUCACACAUUUAGACUGAUUUGUGAACAAUGUUUGAGAGAAAUGGUAAUAUUGUGUGUCUGGAAUGAAUUUUAAAUCUUUAAGUCCAUCUCAUGAAAAAUCAGAAACAAAUGUAUUGCGUUCAUAUUUUUGUUGAGUAUAAAUACGUGUCUAAUUGUGCUGCAGACACGUGUAGUCAAUAGUUUUGAACUAUAGUGCAUUUAAAAUUUUAAUUUUCUGCCUAAAACUGUCAGUGUUGUGCCGUUGUCAGGUAUAAAUCUCUGCACUGCAUUUGAAUUUAAAUCUGCCAUCGCUAUUGGCUAAGAGGUACCCUAGAACGUUAGCUGGUACCAUAUGAUGUCACAAUGUCGUUGUGAGCCUGUGUGUGUGUGUGUAUUUGUUAGCGGCUUCGCCCUCUCGGUCUGCUAGGCAAAAGCAUUUUUUGCAUUUUUCAAACAGGAAGUGGGAGUUGAGUAAAAAUCUGGUAGGGGGUGACUUGCUCUUUAAUAUCUGAUUAGCUUGUGUAUGUGUUAUCGGCUCCGUCCUCUUGGUCUGCCAGGCAACAGCAUUUGUAGCAUUUUUCAAGCACUAAGUGUUUGAAGAGAGGAAGUGAGAGAAAGUGAGAGGAAUGAGACCCAGAGCUACGGUCCGUGUUAGCAACUGUAUUUUUGCCAUUCUUGUAAAAACACACCAACUAUUAUUCACGUUCACCUCCACGUGACCUGCGCGCCACUAACGAAACAAAGCAAUAAAACUUCUCUUUCUGCGACCUAAAACAACAGGACUAAGGCCUUUUGUUGGAAAUAUUUGUUUAAAUUUUCUCUUUUCUGCUAAUUCAGCCCUUGGGUCGUACAUUUUCCACGCUAAAACUCUAUAAAAUAUAUUUAAGGAGGCUUAUUUUAAAACAUGUUUCCCAAAAGACAACAUUGUAUGUCUCAUAUGCUGAAAUGUAGCUUUUUGAGUCUGGUCAUCUGCAACACAUCCAUCCUCCACAGACUGAUCUAAAAAGAACAUGAAGAGAAUUUUUCUACAGGAAGUUCUGAAGCAUAAUGACAGAACACAAAGUGGCCUGAAGUAUUUGCAGUGCCCUUCUGGGGAGAAGAAGAUGGAUCCUGUCAGUGAACUGACCACAACACAGCCAAUCUGUUCCCCAUAUGGUCCCUUCAUCAUGGACCAGAACUGGAUCAAAGCUGGAGUCAGACUGGACAGACAACACAAAGCAGGGCACAAACAGAUGGAGAGGCGUGAGGACGGGACUUCAGAGGACCUCUGGUAAAGGAAACAGACACCAUCUGAGUAAACAAAUAAACAAGCAACCAGUCUGCUUCCUCACUCAGCAGGAUGGAGCUUAAAAACUAGACAAACCUUAAAAUAACAUCUGGGAUUCUCCUCCGUCAGACACAAAGUAGAAGUUCUGGAUGGUGGACGUGUUUAGUUGCCCUGCUCAGCCCCAGGAUCCGAGCUCAGGAAA